CCUCAUUAGCUCAAGCGUGGUCUGGGGGCAGGACACCGAGCCUGCUAGGACUCUCACUGUUCUCAUUCUGGUUCUUUACACUGUUCUCAUUCUCAUUCUUUACCUCACAGGCUGUGCCAGUGACAGUGAUGCAAACCACCUGCUGAGAGAUCCUUGUAGUAUCAAGAAGCAGGCCUGGAGAAGGACAGGCAACCCUUCGUAAUUGCUCCAUCAGCCAAGAAACUUUUAUGGAGUACAUACAUCAUGCCAACUAUGUG
rnacentral:lncRNA from 1 species